rnacentral:rRNA from 1 species
AGUGAACGCUGGCGGUAGGCCUAACACAUGCAAGUCGAACGGAAGCACAGUAAGAGCUUGCUCUUACGGGUGGCGAGUGGCGGACGGGUGAGACAUACAUCGCAAUCUACUUUUUCGUGGGGGAUAACGUAGGGCAACUUACGCUAAUACCGCAUACGACGUACGGCAGAAAGCAGGGGUUCUUCGGACCUUGCGCAUCUGAAUGAGACGAUGUCGUAUUAGCUAGUUGGCGGGGUAAGGGCACACCAAGGCGACGAUCCGUAGCCGACCUGAGAGGAUGAUCGGCCACACUGUAACUGAGACACGGUCCAGACUCCUACGGGAGGCAGCAGUGGGGAAUAUUCGACAAUGGGCGAAAGCCUGACGGAGCAACGCCGCGUGAGUGAUGAAGGCCUUCGGAUCGUAAACCUCUGUUAUUAGGGAAGAAAAACAGUGUAAGUAACUCUGCAUGUCUUGACGGUACCUAAUCAGAAAGCCCCGGCUAACUACGUG